rnacentral:rRNA from 1 species
UUAAGUAAGUAAGGGCGUACGGUGGAUGCCUAGGCACUUGAAACUGAAGAAGGACGCAACAAACGGCGAAACGCGACGGGGAGUGGUACGUACACAAAGAUCCGUCGAUAUCCGAAUGGGGAAACCCGUCAUCUGUAAUAGGAUGGCAUCCAUGGAUGAAUCCAUAGUCCAUGAGAGAGGUACCCGGAGAACUGAAACAUCUAAGUACCCGGAGGAAAAGAAAACAAAAGUGAUUUCCAUAGUAGCGGCGAGCGAAAGGGAAGGAGCCCAAACCAUCUCUAGAGAUGGGGUUGUAGGACCACGACAUGGCAAGAGGAUUGUUAGGAGAACGGCAUUGAAAGGCCGACCGUAGGGGGUGCAAGUCCCGUAUCCGAAAACGAUGUGAAGCCUAGUGGGAUCCUGAGUACGGCGAGACACGAGAAAUCUUGUCGGAAGCAGGCGGGACCAUCCGUCAAGGCUAAAUAUAAACAAGUGACCGAUAGCGAACCAGUACCGUGAGGGAAAGGUGAAAAGAACCGCGGGAGCGGAGUGAAAGAGAACCUGAAACCGUAUGCCUACAAGAAGUCAGAGCCCGUUAAAGGGUGAUGGCGUGCCUUUUGUAGAAUGAACCGGCGAGUUAUGUUAUCGUGCGAGGUUAAGCAGGAGAUGCGGAGCCGAAGCGAAAGCGAGUCUUAAUAGGGCGAGAGUACGAUGACAUAGACCCGAAACCGUGUGAUCUAGCCAUGACCAGGUUGAAGUUCAGGUGAAACUGAAUGGAGGACCGAACCGACCCCCGUUGAAAAGUUGGCGGAUGAGUUGUGGCUAGGGGAGAAAUUCCAAUCGAACACGGAUAUAGCUGGUUCUCCCCGAAAUAGCUUUAGGGCUAGCGUCGAGGCUUAGUCAUGUGGAGGUAGAGCACUGAAUGUACGAUGGCCCCAUCCCGGGGUACUGAGUAUAAUCAAACUCCGAAUGCCAUAAGAUAUGCCCGGCAGUCAGACCGUGGGUGAUAAGGUCCAUGGUCAAAAGGGAAACAGCCCAGACCGCCAGUUAAGGUCCCAAAAUGCAUGCUGAGUGGAAAAGGAUGUGGGGAUGCACAGACAACUAGGAGGUUGGCUCAGAAGCAGCCACCCUUCAAAGAGUGCGUAACAGCUCACUAGUCGAGUGACCCUGCGCCGAAAAUGUACCGGGGCUAAGCAUGCUACCGAAGCUGCGGAUUUGUAGGAAUACAAGUGGUAGGGGAGCGUUCUAUGCAGCGUAGAAGCCAUAUCGUGAGGAGUGGUGGAGCGCAUAGAAGUGAGAAUGCCGGUGUGAGUAGCGAGAUGUAGGUGAGAAUCCUACACACCGAUAGCCCAAGGAUUCCAGGGGAAGGUUCGUCCGCCCUGGGUAAGUCGGGACCUAACGCGAGGCCGAAAGGCGUAGUGGAUGGAAAACAGGCAGAUAUUCCUGUACCCGCGAUGGAAAUGAAGGAAUGACGGAGAAGGUAAGUAUGACCCACUAAAUGGAUUGUGGGCGAAGCGUAUAGCAGGAUGGCAGUGAAAUGCGUCAUCAGGAUGUAAAGCGUGAAAGGUAAGGGAACGCCCAAGGGCAAGUACCGAAGCAUAUGUAGCCAGCUUCCAGGAAAAGUUUCUAGUAUAUUCCAUAGCGGCCCGUACCAAAACCGACACAGGUGGGCAAGGAGAGGAUCCUGAGGUGAGCGAGAGAACUGUUGCCAAGGAACUCGGCAAAAUGACUCCGUAAGUUAGCGAGAAGGAGUGCUUAUGAAAGUAAGCCGCAGUGAAGAGGCCCAAGCGACUGUUUAACUAAAACACAGCUCUCUGCAAAGUCGCAAGACGAAGUAUAGGGGGUGACGCCUGCCCGGUGCUGGAAGGUUAAGAGGAUUUGUCAGUAGCGAUACGAAGCAAUGAAUUGAAGCCCCAGUGAACGGCGGCCGUAACUAUAACGGUCCUAAGGUAGCGAAAUUCCUUGUCAGGUAAG